rnacentral:lncRNA from 10 species
CCUGGUGGAAGCUUUCAACCAGCUUGGUCCUAGAGUCAGGCACACACCUUGGAGGCCUGUGUUCUUGUGUUCUGCACCUGAGGCGGCUGAGGAAAGCAUAUGGUUUCAAGGGCCCUUUGCAUGCACUAUUCAAUUUGCUAAAGACUCUUAGGUUUUCAAAAACAUCCUCUUAGAAAGGAAGUCUUCCCAGAACCUUGCUAUUCUGUUUGAAUUCUUUCUGCUGAGCAUUCCCUGACUGUCAAUUGAUACUUAUCAAACGUCCGGAUGGCGCUGGCCUGGCCGAGCUGCCUGUCUCUUGCUGGAAGCCGGGCUCUGUGAGGGCGCUGCCACAUCGUCUGGCACUGUGCCUGCCAGAGUGUGAGUUCCACAAAUGGAUGAAAGCUGAAUGUGUCACACCAAAGAGAACUCCUUGCAGAGCCUGGCCGACCUCGCCGACUCAAGCCUCACCUCUGCCACAUCCUGAAUUCCGACUCUGCACAGGUCACCUAAUUUAAUCUCGGCUUCCUCAUCUGCAAAACAGAGAUCUUGGGCUGUGAUAGGGAUCAGCUUUGUGUCUCUGUAAAUCCCGGUGGUGCAUGGGGCCGGCCACGGGCCAUCGUCAAGGCUGGCUCUUAUCACUGUGACCAAGCUGUGCAUCCUGGGACAUCCUCCGUGUUCAUGCUGAGCCGGGAUUGGAACUCAGAGCUCAUGUCUGCUGUGUACACCCACCAUGCAGGCCCCCAAAGCACCCUCCUCAUGAGGGGGCCUGCUUCUGCGGGAUCCUGAAGUGAAACUGGGGUGCACAGAAGAAUUUUGGUUGACUGCAAUUCAAUGAACAUUCUGAGAAGCAGAAUGUUUUGAAGGCCUAAGGGUUGCCAGUGAAAAAAAAUGCAUUUUUUGCUAUUAUUGAAAAUUUUUAUAAACUGCACAUGACUACGGUAAACUGGCUCACAUAAAGCAGUACUUGUCAUCUGCUAGGCUGGAUGUGAUGGGCGCACUGUUGAAUUUAGUCUUCAUGGAAUUUCUUCUUUUUAUUUUUACAGGAAAACCAAGACCUGAAGAGGUUAAGUAACUUGUCUAAUGUCAUGUAUGGUGGGUCCUAGAAUUCAACCUAAAUUUGUCUGAUCCCUGAACUCUACCCUCUUACCUCACUCUCUAUCUUAUAGGCUGUUUAGGAAACACACGGAAACUACUGGCAUUUUUAUUUAUUUAUUUAUUUAUUUUGAGAUGGAGCCUUGCUCUGUUGCCCAGGCUGGAGUGCAGUGGCAUGAUCUCGGCUCACUGCAGCCUCCUCCUCAGGCGUUCAAGCAAUUCUCCUGCCUCAGCCUCCCA